ACUAAGCGUACACGGUGGAUGCCCUGGCAGUCAGAGGCGAUGAAGGACGUGCUAAUCUGCGAUAAGCGUCGGUAAGGUGAUAUGAACCGUUAUAACCGGCGAUUUCCGAAUGGGGAAACCCAGUGUGAUUCGUCACACUAUCAUUAACUAAAUCCAUAGGUUAAUGAGGCGAACCGGGGGAACUGAAACAUCUAAGUACCCCGAGGAAAAGAAAUCAACCGAGAUUCCCCCAGUAGCGGCGAGCGAACGGGGAGCAGCCCAGAGCCUGAAUCAGUGUGUGUGUUAGUGGAAGCGUCUGGAAAGGCGCGCGAUACAGGGUGACAGCCCCGUACACAAAAAUGCACAUACUGUGAGCUCGAUGAGUAGGGCGGGACACGUGGUAUCCUGUCUGAAUAUGGGGGGACCAUCCUCCAAGGCUAAAUACUCCUGACUGACCGAUAGUGAACCAGUACCGUGAGGGAAAGGCGAAAAGAACCCCGGCGAGGGGAGUGAAAAAGAACCUGAAACCGUGUACGUACAAGCAGUGGGAGCACAGAGCAAUCUGUGUGACUGCGUACCUUUUGUAUAAUGGGUCAGCGACUUAUAUUCUGUAGCAAGGUUAACCGAAUAGGGGAGCCGAAGGGAAACCGAGUCUUAACUGGGCGUUAAGUUGCAGGGUAUAGACCCGAAACCCGGUGAUCUAGCCAUGGGCAGGUUGAAGGUUGGGUAACACUAACUGGAGGACCGAACCGACUAAUGUUGAAAAAUUAGCGGAUGACUUGUGGCUGGGGGUGAAAGGCCAAUCAAACCGGGAGAUAGCUGGUUCUCCCCGAAAGCUAUUUAGGUAGCGCCUCGUGAAUUCAUCUCCGGGGGUAGAGCACUGUUUCGGCAAGGGGGUCAUCCCGACUUACCAACCCGAUGCAAACUGCGAAUACCGGAGAAUGUUAUCACGGGAGACACACGGCGGGUGCUAACGUCCGUCGUGAAGAGGGAAACAACCCAGACCGCCAGCUAAGGUCCCAAAGUCAUGGUUAAGUGGGAAACGAUGUGGGAAGGCCCAGACAGCCAGGAUGUUGGCUUAGAAGCAGCCAUCAUUUAAAGAAAGCGUAAUAGCUCACUGGUCGAGUCGGCCUGCGCGGAAGAUGUAACGGGGCUAAACCAUGCACCGAAGCUGCGGCAGCGACGCUUAUGCGUUGUUGGGUAGGGGAGCGUUCUGUAAGCCUGUGAAGGUGUACUGUGAGGUAUGCUGGAGGUAUCAGAAGUGCGAAUGCUGACAUAAGUAACGAUAAAGCGGGUGAAAAGCCCGCUCGCCGGAAGACCAAGGGUUCCUGUCCAACGUUAAUCGGGGCAGGGUGAGUCGACCCCUAAGGCGAGGCCGAAAGGCGUAGUCGAUGGGAAACAGGUUAAUAUUCCUGUACUUGGUGUUACUGCGAAGGGGGGACGGAGAAGGCUAUGUUGGCCGGGCGACGGUUGUCCCGGUUUAAGCGUGUAGGCUGGUUUUCCAGGCAAAUCCGGAAAAUCAAGGCUGAGGCGUGAUGACGAGGCACUACGGUGCUGAAGCAACAAAUGCCCUGCUUCCAGGAAAAGCCUCUAAGCAUCAGGUAACAUCAAAUCGUACCCCAAACCGACACAGGUGGUCAGGUAGAGAAUACCAAGGCGCUUGAGAGAACUCGGGUGAAGGAACUAGGCAAAAUGGUGCCGUAACUUCGGGAGAAGGCACGCUGAUAUGUAGGUGAAGUCCCUCGCGGAUGGAGCUGAAAUCAGUCGAAGAUACCAGCUGGCUGCAACUGUUUAUUAAAAACACAGCACUGUGCAAACACGAAAGUGGACGUAUACGGUGUGACGCCUGCCCGGUGCCGGAAGGUUAAUUGAUGGGGUUAGCGCAAGCGAAGCUCUUGAUCGAAGCCCCGGUAAACGGCGGCCGUAACUAUAACGGUCCUAAGGUAGCGAAAUUCCUUGUCGGGUAAGUUCCGACCUGCACGAAUGGCGUAAUGAUGGCCAGGCUGUCUCCACCCGAGACUCAGUGAAAUUGAACUCGCUGUGAAGAUGCAGUGUACCCGCGGCAAGACGGAAAGACCCCGUGAACCUUUACUAUAGCUUGACACUGAACAUUGAGCCUUGAUGUGUAGGAUAGGUGGGAGGCUUUGAAGUGUGGACGCCAGUCUGCAUGGAGCCGACCUUGAAAUACCACCCUUUAAUGUUUGAUGUUCUAACGUGGACCCGUAAUCCGGGUUGCGGACAGUGUCUGGUGGGUAGUUUGACUGGGGCGGUCUCCUCCUAAAGAGUAACGGAGGAGCACGAAGGUUGGCUAAUCCUGGUCGGACAUCAGGAGGUUAGUGCAAUGGCAUAAGCCAGCUUGACUGCGAGCGUGACGGCGCGAGCAGGUGCGAAAGCAGGUCAUAGUGAUCCGGUGGUUCUGAAUGGAAGGGCCAUCGCUCAACGGAUAAAAGGUACUCCGGGGAUAACAGGCUGAUACCGCCCAAGAGUUCAUAUCGACGGCGGUGUUUGGCACCUCGAUGUCGGCUCAUCACAUCCUGGGGCUGAAGUAGGUCCCAAGGGUAUGGCUGUUCGCCAUUUAAAGUGGUACGCGAGCUGGGUUUAGAACGUCGUGAGACAGUUCGGUCCCUAUCUGCCGUGGGCGCUGGAGAAUUGAGGGGGGCUGCUCCUAGUACGAGAGGACCGGAGUGGACGCAUCACUGGUGUUCGGGUUGUCAUGCCAAUGGCACUGCCCGGUAGCUAAAUGCGGAAGAGAUAAGUGCUGAAAGCAUCUAAGCACGAAACUUGCCCCGAGAUGAGUUCUCCCUGACUCCUUGAGAGUCCUGAAGGAACGUUGAAGACGACGACGUUGAUAGGCCGGGUGUGUAAGCGCAGCGAUGCGUUGAGCUAACCGGUACUAAUGAACCGUGAGGCUUAACC
rnacentral:rRNA from 1 species